AACGAACGCUGGCGGCAUGCCUAACACAUGCAAGUCGAACGAGACCUUCGGGUCUAGUGGCGCACGGGUGCGUAACGCGUGGGAACCUGCCCUUAGGUUCGGAAUAACUCCCCGAAAGGGGUGCUAAUACCGGAUAAUGUCUUCGGACCAAAGAUUUAUCGCCUUUGGAUGGGCCCGCGUUGGAUUAGCUAGUUGGUAGGGUAAAAGCCUACCAAGGCGACGAUCCAUAGCUGGUCUGAGAGGAUGAUCAGCCACACUGGGACUGAGACACGGCCCAGACUCCUACGGGAGGCAGCAGUGGGGAAUAUUGGACAAUGGGCGAAAGCCUGAUCCAGCAAUGCCGCGUGAGUGAUGAAGGCCUGAGGGUUGUAAAGCUCUUUUACCCGGGAUGAUAAUGACAGUACCGGGAGAAUAGGCUCCGGCUAACUCCG
rnacentral:rRNA from 1 species